rfam:Mus musculus chromosome 7, GRC primary reference assembly.
GCCAGGCGUGGUGGCACACGCCUUUAAUCCCAGCACUCGGGAGGCAGAGGCAGGUGGAUUUCUGAGUUUGAGGCCAGCCUGGUCUACAAAGUGAGUUCCAGGACAGCCAGGGCUAUACAGAGAAACCCUGUCUCAAAAAACAAAACAAAAAGACCAUGGGGGGGGUGUGAUCAAGUUUUUUUUGGGGGGGGGUUUCGAGACAGGGUUUCUCUGUAUAGCCCUGGCUGUCCUGGAGCUCACUUUGUAGACCAGGCUGGCCUCGAACUCAGAAAUCCGCCUGCC